CCUACGGGUGGCUGCAGUGAGGAAUAUUGGUCAAUGGCCGGAACUCUGAACCAGCCAAGCCGCGUGCAGGACGAAGGUGCCAAGCAUUGUAAACUUCUUUUGUCAAGGGACAAAAUCAGGCUCGAGAGCCUGACCGCGGGUACUUGAAGAAAAAGCAUCGGCUAACUCCGUGCCAGCAGCCGCGGUAAUACGGAGGAUGCGGGCGUUAUCCGGAUUUAUUGGGUUUAAAGGGUGCGUAGGCGGCCUGUUAAGUCAGCGGUAAAAGCCCGGGGCUCAACCCGGGCGAGCCGCUGACACUGGGUGGCUUGAGAUGGCGAGAGGUAGGCGGAAUUCGCAGUGUAGCGGUGAAAUGCUUAGAUAUUGCGCAGAACUCCGAUUGCGAAGGCAGCAUACCGGCGGCGAUCUGACGCUGAGGCACGAAAGCGCGGGUAUCGAACAGGAUUAGAUACCCGUGUAGUC
rnacentral:rRNA from 1 species